UACGUAGGGUGCAAGCGUUAAUCGGAAUUACUGGGCGUAAAGCGUGCGCAGGCGGUGAUGUAAGACAGGUGUGAAAUCCCCGGGCUUAACCUGGGAACUGCAUUUGUGACUGCAUCGCUGGAGUGUGGCAGAGGGGGAUGGAAUUCCGCGUGUAGCAGUGAAAUGCGUAGAUAUGCGGAGGAACACCGAUGGCGAAGGCAAUCCCCUGGGCCUGCACUGA
rnacentral:rRNA from 1 species